AUUGAACGCUGGCGGCAUGCUUUACACAUGCAAGUCGAACGGUAACAGGCCGCAAGGUGCUGACGAGUGGCGAACGGGUGAGUAAUGCAUCGGAACGUGCCCAGUCGUGGGGGAUAACGCAGCGAAAGCUGCGCUAAUACCGCAUACGAUCUCUGGAUGGAAGCGGGGGACCGAAAGGCCUCGCGCGAUUGGAGCGGCCGAUGUCAGAUUAGGUAGUUGGUGGGGUAAAGGCCCACCAAGCCAACGAUCUGUAGCUGGUCUGAGAGGACGACCAGCCACACUGGGACUGAGACACGGCCCAGACUCCUACGGGAGGCAGCAGUGGGGAAUUUUGGACAAUGGGCGCAAGCCUGAUCCAGCAAUGCCGCGUGCAGGAAGAAGGCCUUCGGGUUGUAAACUGCUUUUGUACGGAACGAAACGGUCUGGGUUAAUACCCUGGGCUAAUGACGGUACCGUAAGAAUAAGCACCGGCUAACUACGUGCCAGCCGCCGCAGUAA
rnacentral:rRNA from 1 species